UUUCACAUGCACAUGUCAUUACAAGGACUUUUUCCAAGGCUUGUAUUAUGGCUGGGCUAACAAGAAAAUUUGUUUUUCAGGAAUACAAAAUCCUUGAGUUAAGAGAGUUUAAAUAAUUCAAAGUUCAAGCACACUCUCUUUUUAACCAAUCUCACUCAUUCCCAACUUUUCCCUUUUUCAUUUUACAUUGAGUUCUUCUUUACAUGCAUAAACUUUUUUCUUCUUUUCUUUUCUUUCACAUGCAUUUUUCUUUUUCAUCUUUUGAACUCAAUGCUUUUCUUUUUCUUUUGCCUUUCACUUUCCCCUUUCCACCCCAAACUUGAACCUUUUCAACACAUAUAAUUAUUCUCAACCCUAACUCAAGGUAAAUCAAUUCAAU
rnacentral:lncRNA from 1 species